rnacentral:lncRNA from 1 species
CCCAUGGAUACCAACAGGCUUUGCCACUUCUGAUGUGGGAGUUGGCCCUCAGGAUCCCUCCUCUGUACUUUUCUCUGUGCAGUCCCAGACCACCAAUCCCUCACCCAGCUCGUUUUAUUUCCUAGUUGUAGGUCUCCUGUGUAAUGGGGAAGGGCUGAAACAAAUCUGGGCUUGGUGUUGCUGCCAUGGCCUGAGGACCAGAAGCCGUAAGGGUCCCAUAUGGUGAUUACAGUCAAUUGCCCUGCUUCUCACACCGGGAGCCACUCCUCGGUUUGCUCCUUACAGCCGGGACGGAAAGGCGAAGGCCAGAAGCGGAAAGAGUCCAGGAGGGCUGCUGUUGCCACUCCCUGGAAGGGAGGGAGGAGUUGUGUGGAGUCGUGGACUUGAUGGAAACCGUGGAGGCCCUGGGGUCCAGCCUCCCCACUAGCCAGUGAGGGAAGCCCCCGUGCAGCUCCCUGAGACCUUGCCCACCUGUCCUCGCUUGGAACCGCCAGGGAUGAGCCGCCUCCUGAGAGCCGUUCCUUAGAGGGACAGGUCACUGCCACUGCCACUGCUUCUAUCGACCUCAUUUCUACUUUAUGGUAAGGGGAGCUCUUUCCUAGUU